rnacentral:rRNA from 1 species
ACUCAAAGGAAUAGACGGGGGCCCGCACAAGCGGUGGAGUAUGUGGCUUAAUUCGAUGCAACGCGAAGAACCUUACCAGGACUUGACAUACACUUGAACGGGGCUGAAAAGUCUUUUUCCUUCGGGACAAGUGUACAGGUGCUGCAUGGCUGUCGUCAGCUCGUGUCGUGAGAUGUUCGGUUAAGUCCGGCAACGAGCGCAACCCCUGCCCCUAGUUGCCAUCAUUUAGUUGGGGACUCUAGGGGGACAAACUCUCUUUGAGAGUGGGAAGGUGGGGACGACGUCAAGUCAGUAUGGCCCUUACGUCCUGGGCUGCACACGUACUACAAUGCUUGGUACAGAGGGAAGCAAGACCGCGAGGUGGAGCCAAUCCUGAAAGCCAAGCUCAGUUCAGAUUGCAGUCUGCAACUCGACUGCAUGAAGAUGGAAUCGCUAGUAAUGGCGCAUCAGCUACGGCGCCGUGAAUACGUUCCCGGGCCUUGUACACACCGCCCGU